GAUGAACGCUGACAGAAUGCUUAACACAUGCAAGUCAACUGUGGCGGACGGGUGAGUAACGCGUAAAGAACUUGCCUCCCAGCUAGGGACAACAUUUGGAAACGAAUGCUAAUACCUGAUACUGUGAGAGAGCUUUGCGUCCCAUUAGCGAGUUGGAGAGGUAACGGCUCACCAAGGCGAGGAUGGGUAGCCGGCCUGAGAGGGUGAUUGGCCACAAGGGGACUGAGACACGGCCCUGACUCCUACGGGAGGCAGCAGUGAGGAAUAUGGGACUAUGGACCAUAGUCUGAUCCAGCUAUUCUGUGGUCACGAUGAAGUUUUCGGAAGGUAAAGUGCUUUCAGUUGGGAAGCGGUACCAACAGAAGAAGGGACGGCUAAAUACGUGCCAGCAGCCGCGGUAAUAC
rnacentral:rRNA from 1 species